rnacentral:rRNA from 1 species
GACGAACGCUGGCGGCGUGCUUAACACAUGCAAGUCGAACGGAAAGGCCCCUUUGGGGGUACUCGAGUGGCGAACGGGUGCGUAACACGUGAGUAACCUGCCCUUGACUUCGGGAUAACUUCAGGAAACUGGGGCUAAUACCGGAUAGGAAUCCUUGCUGCAUGGUGGGGGUUGGAAAGCUUCGGCGGUUUUGGAUGGACUCGCGGCUUAUCAGCUUGUUGGUGGGGUAGUGGCUUACCAAGGCUUUGACGGGUAGCCGGCCUGAGAGGGCGACCGGCCACAUUGGGACUGAGAUACGGCCCAGACUCCUACGGGAGGCAGCAGUGGGGAAUAUUGCACAAUGGGCGGAAGCCUGAUGCAGCAACGCCGCGUGCGGGAGGACGGCCUUCGGGUUGGAAACCGCUUUCAGCAGGGGCGAAGCUUGUGGUGACGGUACCUGCAGAAGAAGCACCGGCUAACUACGUG